rnacentral:piRNA from 1 species
UGCAUUGAGGAUGCAAUGGGUGGACAUUGAU